ensembl:snRNA U6 U6 spliceosomal RNA
GUACUUGCUUCAGCAGCACAUACACUAAAACCAGAGCAAUACAGAGAAGAUUAGCAUAGCCCUCACCCAAAGAUGACAAGCAAAUCUGUGAAGCAUUCAUCUUUUUU